UCUAUCUAUGAUCUAUCUAUCAUCUAUCUAUCUUCUAUCUAUCAUCUAUCUAUCACCUAUCUAUCAUAUAUCUAUCUAUCUAUCAUCUGUCAUCUGUCUGUCACCUAUCUAUUACUUAUCAUCUAUCUAUUUAUCUAUCACCAAUCUAUCAUCUAUUAUCUAUCUAUCAUCUAUCUAUCUCUAUCAUCUGUCACCUAUCUAUCAUCUAUUAAUCUAUCAAUCAUUCAGUCAACUAUCUAUCAUCUGUCUGUUUAUCUGUCAUCUAUCUACCUAUCAUCUAUCUAUCUAUGUAUCUAUGUAUGUAUGUAUCUAUCUAUCUAUCUAUCUGAUACAGUUUGGAUUUGUGUCCCCGCCCAAAUCUCACCAGUCCCCUCCCCUGACACUGGGGACUACAAUUCAAGAUGAUAUUUGGGAAGGGACACAAAUCCAAAACCAUAUCAGAUAGAUAGAUAGAUAGAUAGAUAGAUAGAUAGAUAGAUAGAUAGACAGACACACGGAUAGGUAGGUAGAUAGAUAAUGGAUUGAUAGAUGGAUGGAUGGAUAGACGAAUAGAUAGAUGGAUAGAUAGAUGAAUAGAUAGAUGGACAGAUAGAUAGAUGAUGGAUAGAUAGACGGAUGGACAGAUAGACGGACGGACAGAUAGAAGAUGGAUAGAUAGGUCGAUGGAUGGAUAGAUAGAUGAUGAAUAGAUAGAUGAGUGGACGGAUAGAUAGGCAGAUGAUGAAUAGAUAGGUGGAUGGAUGGAUAGAUGAUAGACAAUAGAUAGA
rnacentral:lncRNA from 1 species